AGUGAACGCUGGCGGUAGGCCUAACACAUGCAAGUCGAACGGCAGCACAGUAAGAGCUUGCUCUUACGGGUGGCGAGUGGCGGACGGGUGAGGAAUACAUCGGAAUCUACUUUUUCGUGGGGGAUAACGUAGGGAAACUUACGCUAAUACCGCAUACGACCUACGGGUGAAAGCAGGGGAUCUUCGGACCUUGCGCGAUUGAAUGAGCCGAUGUCGGAUUAGCUAGUUGGCGGGGUAAAGGCCCACCAAGGCGACGAUCCGUAGCUGGUCUGAGAGGAUGAUCAGCGACACUGGAACUGAGACACGGUCCAGACUCCUACGGGAGGCAGCAGUGGGGAAUAUUGGACAAUGGGCGCAAGCCUGAUCCAGCCAUACCGCGUGGGUGAAGAAGGCCUUCGGGUUGUAAAGCCGUUUUGUUGGGAAAGAAAAGCAGCAGGUUAAUACCCCGCUGUUCUGACGGUACCCAAAGAAUAAGCACCGGCUAACUUCGUG
rnacentral:rRNA from 1 species